CCCUUAGAUGUCCGGGGCUGCACGCGCGCUACACUGAAGGAAUCAGCGUGCUAAAACCAUUGUCGAAAGGCAUUGGUAAACCCAUUAAAAUCCUACGUGAUUGGGAUCGGGAAUUGCAAUUAUUUCCCUUGAACGAGGAAUUCCCAGUAAGUGUGGGUCAUAAGCUCGCGUUGAUUACGUCCCUGCCCUUUGUACACACCGCCCGUCGCUGCCCGGGACUGAGCCGUUUCGAGAAAAGCGAGGACUGCUGCUGUCGGGGCUUUCGGGCCUUGGCUUCGGUGGAAACCGCUUUAAUCGCAGUGGCUUGAACCGGGCAAAANUCGUAACA
rnacentral:rRNA from 1 species